rnacentral:rRNA from 1 species
GAUGAACGCUAGCGGCAGGCUUAAUACAUGCAAGUCGAGGGGCAGCAGGACGGUAGCAAUACCGUUGCUGGCGACCGGCAAACGGGUGCGGAACACGUACGCAACCUACCCAUAACUGGGGGAUAGCCCGGGGAAACCCGGAUUAAUACCUCGUAACCUUAUGAAGUGGCAUCGCUUUAUAAGUAUAGCUCCGGCGGUUAUGGAUGGGCGUGCGCCUGAUUAGGUAGUUGGCGGGGUAACGGCCCACCGAGCCUGCGAUCAGUAACUGGUGUGAGAGCACGACCAGUCACACGGGCACUGAGAAACGGGCCCGACUCCUACGGGAGGCAGCAGUAAGGAAUAUUAGUCAAUGGACGCAAGUCUGAACCAGCCAUGCCGCGUGAAGGAUGAAGGUCCUCUGGAUUGUAAACUUCUUUUAUAGGGGAAGAAAUCUGAAUAUUCCUAUUCAGUUGACGGUACCCUAGGAAUAAGCACCGGCUAACUCCGUGCCAGCAGCCGCGGUAAUAC